UACGUAGGGUGCAAGCGUUAAUCGGAAUUACUGGGCGUAAAGCGUGCGCAGGCGGUGAUGUAAGACAGGUGUGAAAUCCCCGGGCUUAACCUGGGAACUGCAUUUGUGACUGCAUCGCUGGAGUGCGGCAGAGGGGGAUGGAAUUCCGCGUGUAGCAGUGAAAUGCGUAGAUAUGCGGAGGAAUACCGAUGGCGAAGGCAGGUCUCUGGGCUGACACUGACGCUCAUGCACGAAAGCGUGGGGAGCAAACAGG
rnacentral:rRNA from 1 species